GAUGAAGAACGUAGCGAAAUGCGAUAAGUAAUGCGAAUUGCAGAAUUCCAGUGAGUCAUCGAAUCUUUGAACGCACAUUGCGCCCUUUGGUAUUCCGAAGGGCAUGCCUGUUCGAGCGUCAUUAUCAUCCCUCAAGCCCUCGGCUUGGUGUUGGGGCACCCGGCCGCCUGACGACCCGGGGCCCUCAAGUAUAUCGGCGGUCUCGUCGGGACUCUGAGCGCAGUAACUCGCGGUAAAACGCGCCUCGCUUGGACCGUCUCCGGCGGGUUCCGGCCGCUAAACACCCCCCUCUCAGAGUUGACCUCGGAUCAGGUAGGAAUACCCGCUGAACUUAAGCAUAUCAAUAAGCGGAGGA
rnacentral:misc_RNA from 1 species